rnacentral:sRNA from 1 species
CCAAACUCUUAUUUGCACAGCGGAAACGCCUCUGAUUUUGGAAUAAAACAAGUCAAAACUUUCAACAACGGAUCUCUUGGUUCUGGCAUCGAUGAAGAACGCAGCGAAAUGCGAUAAGUAAUGUGAAUUGCAGAAUUCAGUGAAUCAUCGAAUCUUUGAACGCACAUUGCGCCCGGCAGUAAUCUGCCGGGCAUGCCUGUCCGAGCGUCAUUUCUGCCCUCGAGCGCGGUCCGCCCUAGCCGGCGGGCCGCCGCCUCGGUGUUGGGGCGCCACGGGGGAGCCCUAGCGCUCCCCCGCGGGCCCCGAAAUGAAGUGGCGGCCCCGCCGCGGCGCCCCCUGCGUAGUACCUACAGCUCGCAUCGGGUCCCGGCGGAGGCCUGCCGUCAAGCCCUCAACUCAAGAUGGUUUGACCU